AUUCACAGAAAUUAUUCCAUUAUGGUAUUAUCUGUGGACAUAAUGUUUGUUGCGUUCAUGUAUUAUUAUAUUAAUUAUAUUAAUCUCCAUCGGCUGUGAUUUAAUUGCUAAUAAAUAACUUACUUUUUACACGUCUACGUGCUAAAAACGAGAAUGAAAAAAUAAUCAACAUGAAUACCGUAGACAUAUUAACUAACUGAAAACCAACACACCCAAGCCAAAAGAAUGAAGUAUCUUCAUAGAAAGAUCGUGACAUCGUGUAAUAAAAAAUGAACGUUAAAAAAAACGAAUACCAGAAUUAUCCAAAUCCAAUUACAGUUAACUACUUUGAUGGUAAUGAGGGCCGAGGGGACGGACCACCAUCCACCGUUGUAGAUAAUUUCAUAAAAAAAUAAAAAUGUAUAACAAUAAUAUGUAGAGAACUAUGCUUAUACAAUAUGCAAACGGUAGUAGGAAAAAAAUUUCCAACAUAAAAAUUAAGAAAAUAAUAUGACCGGCAAUUUAACU